rnacentral:rRNA from 1 species
ACUCAAAGGAAUUGACGGGGACCCGCACAAGCGGUGGAGCAUGUGGUUUAAUUCGAAGCAACGCGAAGAACCUUACCAGGUCUUGACAUGGCAAUGACCGGUCCGUAACGGGACCCUCCCUUCGGGGCAUUGCACACAGGUGGUGCAUGGUUGUCGUCAGCUCGUGUCGUGAGAUGUUGGGUUAAGUCCCGCAACGAGCGCAACCCUUAUCUUUAGUAGCCAGCACGUCAAGGUGGGAACUCUAGAGAGACUGCCGAGGAUAACUCGGAGGAAGGUGGGGAUGACGUCAAAUCAUCAUGCCCCUUAUGAUCUGGGCUACACACGUGCUACAAUGGCGAUAACAAAGGGAAGCCAAGGAGUGAUCCGGAGCAAACCCCAUAAAAGUCGUCCCAGUUCGGAUUGUAGUCUGCAACUCGACUACAUGAAGUUGGAAUCGCUAGUAAUCGCGAAUCAGAAUGUCGCGGUGAAUACGUUCCCGGGUCUUGCACACACCGCCCGU